UUGUAGAUGCUGGAAAGUUUUUCUAUCAUAGUGCUCUUCAAUGGUUUCCCACUUAUGGGUUGAGAAAUAUUGAUGCAGUUAUCAUUACUCAUUCUCAUGCAGACGCAAUUGGAGGUCUAGAUGAUCUCCGUGAUUGGACAAAUAAUGUUCAAUCACACAUCCCAAUCUAUGUGAAUAAUCGUGAUUUUGAGG